rnacentral:rRNA from 1 species
UGGGGAAUCUUGCACAAUGGGCGAAAGCCUGAUGCAGCAACGCCGCGUGCGGGAAGAAGGCCCUCGGGUUGUAAACCGCUUUCAGAAGGAACGAAACUGACGGUACUUUCAGAAGAAGGUGCGGCCAACUACGUGCCAGCAGCCGCGGUGACACGUAGGCACCAAGCGUUGUCCGGAUUUAUUGGGCGUAAAGAGCUCGUAGGCGGUUCAGUAAGUCGGGUGUGAAAACUUUGGGCUUAACCCAAAGCGUGCAUCCGAUACUGCUGUGACUUGAGUACGGUAGGGGAGCGGGGAAUUCCUAGUGUAGCGGUGAAAUUCGUAGAUAUUAGGAAGAACACCAGUGGCGAAGGCGGCCAACUGGCUCGAUACUGACGCUGAGGUGCGAAAGCGUGGGGAGCAAACAGGAUUAGAUACCCGUGUAGUCCCUGAGCGGGCUGGCAAGGCGCAU